CCCUUUGAUACUCUGGGCGGCACGCGCGCUACAAUGGAUAACUUAACGUGUUACAUGUCCGAAAGGAUGUAUGCAAAUCACAAAUGUUAUGUCUCGAGUGGGAUAGUUUACUGCGAUUAUAGACUUGAACUAGGAAUCCCUUGUAGGUACACUGAAGCAUAGUGUACCGAAUACGUCCCUGCCGUUUGUACACACCGCCCGUCGUUUCUUCCGACUGAUACUCAUUGUGAAUUGCGGGGAUAACGUUGUUGAAAACCGUUGUAAAUGCUGGGUAUUGGAGGAAGAAAAAGUCGUAACA
rnacentral:rRNA from 1 species